CAGCAUGCUCCCCGCCGCUCCUGGACACCUGCUCCUGGCCUGCAGCCUCCUCCUGGCGCCCUUCCUUGCAGUCUCCUGGGAGAUUAAGAUGAAUGACCUGGAGGAGAAAGAUGUGGAUGAAUUCACCUCCAAUGGCUUUAAGUGCCCGACCUGCUUCGCAGUGAUGGGAAGGAAGUGCAACAGUAAGCUCAAGUGGUGCGCAGCAGACAAACUGAAAUGCGUUGAAUUCUCUGGCAUCGUAAACACAGGUCUUAAAGACAUCGCUGUUGAAAUGAAGAAGUGCAUACGAGCAGACCUUUGUAAAGAGACAAUAACUUACAUGGGUUUUCCAAUUGCUAACGGGAGUAAAAGUUGC